rnacentral:rRNA from 1 species
AUUGAACGCUGGCGGCAGGCCUAACACAUGCAAGUCGAACGAGUGGCGGACGGGUGAGUAAUGUAUGGGGACCUGCCCGAUAGAGGGGGAUAACUACUGGAAACGGUGGCUAAUACCGCAUACUAUCAGAUGAGCCCAUAUGGGAUUAGCUUGUGGGUGGGGUAAAGGCUCACCAAGGCGACGAUCCCUAGCUGGUCUGAGAGGAUGACCCGCCACACUGGGACUGAGACACGGCCCAGACUCCUACGGGAGGCAGCAGUGGGGAAUAUUGCACAAUGGGCGCAACCCUGAUGCAGCCAUGCCGCGUGUAUGAUGAAGGCCUUCGGGUUGUAAAGUACUUUCAGCCGAGAGGCGUUACCUGCAGAAGAAGCACCGGCUAACUCCGUGCCAGCAGCCGCGGUAAUUC